CUCAUUACAACAGCCAUAGUUUACUGGAUAUAUUCCAAUUACAUGGAUAACUGUGGUAAUUCUACAGCUAAUACACGCAUCAAAACCCCGACUUCGUGGAGGGGUGCGUUUGUUACUUCAAAUCAAUCGGACUUCGGUCUGAACUCAAGUGAUAUUGAACAAUUUAGCUGAUCGCACGGUCUGUGUACCGGCGACAUAUCCUUCAAAUGUCUGCCUUAUCAACUUUCGAUGGUAGAUUAUGCGCCUACCAUGGUUGUUACGGGUAACGGAGAAUCAGGGUUUGAUUCCGGAGAGGGAGCCUGAGAAAUGGCUACCACAUCCAAGGAAGGCAGCAGGCACGCAAAUUACCCACUCCCGGCACGGGGAGGUAGUGACGAAAAAUAACAAGCUGGUCUCUAUGAGUUCCGGCAUUGUAAUGGGAACAAUUUAAAUCAUUUAUCGAGGAUCUAUUGGAGGGCAAGUCUGGUGCCAGCAGCCGCGGUAAUUCCAGCUCCAAUAGCGUAUAUUAAAGUUGUUGCGGUUAAAAAGCUCGUAGUUGGAUCUACGACCAAGGCCUGUGGUCAUCCAGCUUGGAUGUACUGCACGGUCUGGUCCUUUUAUCUAGUAUUCGAUUGAUGCUCUUCACUGAGUGUCUCUAGUUGCUGGAACGUUUACCUUGAAAAAAUUGAAGUGCUCAAGGCAGGCACACGCCUGAACAUUGUUGCAUGGGAUAAUAGAAUAGGACUUCGGUUCUAUUUUGUUGGUUUUCGGAACGCGAAGUAAUGAUUAAUAGGGACAGACGGGGGCAUUCGUAUUGCUGCGUUAGAGGUGAAAUUCUUGGAUCGCAGCAAGACGAACUACUGCGAAAGCAUUGCCAAGA
rnacentral:rRNA from 1 species